UACGUAGGGUGCAAGCGUUAAUCGGAAUUACUGGGCGUAAAGCGUGCGCAGGCGGUUUUGUAAGUCUGUCGUGAAGGCCCCGGGCUCAACCUGGGAAUUGCGAUGGAGACUGCAAGGCUUGAAUCUGGCAGAGGGGGGUAGAAUUCCACGUGUAGCAGUGAAAUGCGUAGAGAUGUGGAGGAACACCGAUGGCGAAGGCAGCCCCCUGGGUCAAGAUUGACGCUCAGGCACGAAAGCGUGGGGAGCAAACAGG
rnacentral:rRNA from 1 species